rnacentral:lncRNA from 1 species
GUGGUGUCAACAGAACCACACAAUCUGCAGAGGAGUUUGUAGUUCGGGUUCCCGUGGUAGAUGUGCAGAGUGACAACUUCAAGGAGAUAUGGCCAUCACUCUUGCUAGCCUUAAAGACAGCUAGCUUUGUGGCGGUGGACACGGAGCUGAGUGGCCUUGGGGAUAGGAAGAGUUUGCUGAACCAGGUGACAGUUCUUACUUGGCUCAAGUGUUCAAUCUCACCCUACUGUGCAUGGAGGAGUAUGUUAUAGAACCGAAGUCAGUACAGUUCCUGGUACAGCAUGGCUUCAACUUCAACCGGCAGUAUGCUCAGGGGAUCCCCUACCAUAAAGGCAAUGACAAGGGAGAUGAAAGCCAGAGCCAGUCAGUACGGACACUGUUCCUUGAACUAAUUCGAGCCCGGCGGCCG